rnacentral:rRNA from 1 species
UGGUGAGGUAACGGCUCACCAAGGCGACGAUGCGUAGCCGACCUGAGAGGGUGAUCGGCCACACUGGGACUGAGACACGGCCCAGACUCCUACGGGAGGCAGCAGUAGGGAAUCUUCCGCAAUGGACGAAAGUCUGACGGAGCAACGCCGCGUGAGUGAUGAAGGUUUUCGGAUCGUAAAACUCUGUUGUUAGGGAAGAACAAGUACCGUUCGAAUAGGGCGGUACCUGACGGUACCAACCAG